rnacentral:misc_RNA from 1 species
UCCGGCUUAUCACCGGCGGUUUCUUUAGAGUGCCCAACUAAAUGAUGGCAACUAAAGACGAGGGUUGCGCUCGUUGCGGGACUUAACCCAACACCUCACGGCACGAGCUGACGACAGCCAUGCAGCAUCUGUGCAUGCUCUCUUGCGAGUCCCUCAGGUUUCCCCUCAGUACCACAUGCAUGUCAAGCCGAGGUAAGGUUCUGCGCGUUGCAUCGAAUUAAACCACACGCUCCGCUGCUUGUGCGGGCCCCCGUCAAUUCCUUUGAGUUUCAGCCUUGCGAUUGUACUUCCCAGGUGGAAUACUUAAUGCGUUAGCUUGGACGCGUACUGUGUAUCGCACACAUCGAGUAAUCAUAGUUUACAGCGUGGACUAC